CAGCCGCCGCGGUAAUACGUAGGUGGCGAGCGUUGUCCGGAAUCAUUGGGCGUAAAGGGAGCGCAGGCGGGCAUGUAAGUCUUUCUUAAAAGUUCGGGGCUCAACCCCGUGAUGGGAAAGAAACUACAUGUCUUGAGUACAGGAGAGGAAAGCGGAAUUCCCAGUGUAGCGGUGAAAUGCGUAGAUAUUGGGAGGAACACCAGUGGCGAAGGCGGCUUUCUGGACUGCAACUGACGCUGAGGCUCGAAAGCCAGGGGAGCGAACGGGAUUAGAUACCCGUGUAGUCCCUGUCUCUUAUACA
rnacentral:rRNA from 1 species